AGCCAUGCGAGUCGACAUAGCAAUAUGUGGCAUACGGCUCAGUAACACGUAGUCAACAUGCCCAGGGGACGUGGAUAACCUCGGGAAACUGAGGAUAAACCGCGAUAGGUCAUCACUUCUGGAAUGGGUAAUGACUUAAACCUAUAUGGCCCCUGGAUUGGACUGCGGCCGAUCAGGCUGUUGGUGAGGUAAUGGCCCACCAAGCCUGUAACCGGUACGGGCUCUGAGAGGAGGAGCCCGGAGAUGGGCACUGAGACAAGGGCCCAGGCCCUAUGGGGCGCAGCAGGCGCGAAACCUCUGCAAUAGGCGAAAGCUUGACAGGGUUACUCUGAGUGAUUUCCGUUAAGGAGAUCUUUUGGCACCUCUAAAAAUGGUGCAGAAUAAGGGGUGGGCAAGUCUGGUGUCAGCCGCCGCGGUAAUACCAGCACCCCGAGUGGUCGGGACGUUUAUUGGGCCUAAAGCAUCCGUAGCCGGUUCUACAAGUCUUCCGUUAAAUCCACCUGCUUAACAGAUGGGCUGCGGAAGAUACUAUAGAGCUAGGAGGCGGGAGAGGCAAGCGGUACUCGAUGGGUAGGGGUAAAAUCCGUU
rnacentral:rRNA from 1 species